rnacentral:rRNA from 1 species
UGGGGGAUAUUGCACAAUGGGGGAAACCCUGAUGCAGCGACGCCGCGUGUGGGAAGACGGUCCUCUGGAUUGUAAACCACUGUCCCCAGGGACGAAGAUGACGGUACCUGGGGAGGAAGCUCCGGCUAACUACGUGCCAGCAGCCGCGGUAAUACGUAGGGAGCGAGCGUUGUCCGGAAUUACUGGGUGUAAAGGGAGCGUAGGCGGGGAUGCAAGUUGGGUGUCAAAACUACCGGCUCAACUGGUAGUCGCACUCAAAACUGCAACUCUUGAGUGAAGUAGAGGCAGGCGGAAUUCCUAGUG